rnacentral:rRNA from 1 species
AGAGCGAACGCUGGCGGCAGGCCUAACACAUGCAAGUCGAGCGCUCCGCAAGGGGAGCGGCAGACGGGAGAGUAACACGUGGGAACGUACCCUCCAGUUCGGAACAACCCAGGGAAACUUGGGCUAAUACCGAAAUACGUCCGUAAGGAGAAAGAUUUAUCGCUGAAGGAUCGGCCCGCGUCUGAUUAGCUUGUUGGUGAGGUAACGGCUCACCAAGGCUACGAUGGGUAGCUGGUCUGAGAGGACGAUCAGCCACACUGGGACUGAGACACGGCCCAGACUCCUACGGGAGGCAGCAGUGGGGAAUAUUGGACAAUGGGGGCAACCCUGAUCCAGCAAUGCCGCGUGAGUGAUGAAGGCCUUAGGGUUGUAAAGCUCUUUCGGCGGGAAGAUAAUGACGGUACCGCAGAAGAAGCCCCGGCUAACUUCGUGCCAGCAGCCGC